ACAGGGAGAGACAAGUUUGGGCUUUGGGGGUUUUGGAACUCUUGUAUGUAGGAGAUGGCAGAGUUUUCCUGUAUUACAUGGAUGUUUCAGCUGGAAAAAUACUGGGUCCUACAGUGAAACUGAAAGACAAAGAGGGAAGCAGUGCCUUUGUCAUGCUGUUAACAAACACCGUGACAAGAAAGCCUCAGAUGACUACCUUGCAUGGCUGCUGAACAUCUUCUCAUACUGAGUAACUAAUUCACAGAAAAAGAUGCUGGAAUUAUUUAAUAAUUAUUCUCAGGACUCUGAGAGUCAAUGCACUAAAAUGCCAGAUGUAGCUCAUCAUCAGUUGGAGCUGAUUUCAGAAGAGGUGUUAGAGUUUGCUGGUCCAAGAGAGGAUGUGAUCCAGGCAUCAAAGGGAGCCAUGAGUGAAGCGUGUGUUUCCACCCCUGCUCUCAAUUGUCUGUGCUACCUGCUGCUUGCUACUGAUGCCACCACACAGCCGGCCUGGAGUAAGGGCUCCCACAUUCCCCUCCACGAUCUUCAUCUUCCAGGCUCUCCAUCCAAGCCUACCAUCCUGCUUGGUGGUCAGUGACACAAUGUGGACUUGGUGCUCACCAAGGAGGAACUGCUAAUAAAUGCAAGCAUGUGCUCUGUGAACAUUAGGAGCCAGCUCCCUGCUGUGUGCUUGUUUGACUCAUCCACACUCAUACGCUAAGUAGUGAGGUAGCUAUCUCCUCGCCAUUCUUCCUUCGUGACUCUCAAACUUUUUCACUGUUUUGUGGGGAACACACUCCAAGUCAUCUGUGCAGCAUCUGUUGCCUGGUCUUUCUGACCUGUGCAAUAAGCUUUGUUCAUCUAAAAUGACUGAGAUUUGUUUGUUGUUGCUGAUGCCCACAGCACUCAAGAUGCAAAAAGUUCAGCAAUAAACCAGCAUAUG
rnacentral:lncRNA from 7 species